rnacentral:rRNA from 1 species
UACGUAGGAUGCAAGCGUUGUCCGGAAUUACUGGGCGUAAAGGGCUCGUAGGUGGCCAACUAAGUCAGACGUGAAAUCCCUCGGCUUAACCGGGGAACUGCGUCUGAUACUGGAUGGCUUGAGUUCGGGAGAGGGAUGCGGAAUUCCAGGUGUAGCGGUGAAAUGCGUAGAUAUCUGGAGGAACACCGGUGGCGAAGGCGGCAUCCUGGACCGACACUGACGCUGAGGAGCGAAAGCCAGGGGAGCAAACGGG